UAAAGAAGCGGCGAAUUUGGUGACAGCUUUGGAAAAUAGUAUUUAGUGAGAAAAGCAAGGUGCAGAAACCUGGGUUGUGGUAUCUUUAUUUUCUGAGCGGGGAAAGAUAAAAGUGGACCGUAUCUUGUAUUUGCUGCCUCCCUAAAGAAAACAAGCCGGAAAUACAUGAAGCCAAUGAAAGCGGACACAUAGGGCGCCAGAGCGGGGUAAGGGUUCCCAGGCUCUCUGUAUGUUUGGAUUAUUGAGUCAUGUGGAUUUGCACAGAUCCCAAAACCAAAACACAGAUCCCUAGGCCCCGCCGUCCGGGAGUCUGACGCAGCUGCUCUGCGGUGAGGAGACGGAGGCUGUGUUCCCGAGAGGUUCCAAGGGGGACAGUUGCACCGCCAGUCUUGGGGACGUUGUUCUAGAUGAUUUCUUUGAGUGGUCUGAAACAAAACCGAACCACUCACCAGCAGCGCUGUCUUCCUGGAUGCAGCCAGCCCUGCUGGAAACGGGUGGGAAGGCUGUCUUCUUCACUCCCGGGGGCCUCUGACGGUGGGUGUGAGUCAGGGGCUCCUAGGAGAAAUCGACCGCCCUUGCCGGCCUCCAAGGGCCCUGGAAAGCCUGAGAGCCUGGCGCUCCUGCCACAUCCCCAUUGCCAUGGCAACGGCAGACACAAUGGUUUCUGUGGAGUUCGGAUCUAUAAAUAAUUUCUAGAUCAGUCUUGGCGAGGUGGAUGGGGUGGGCACCGAGGGGAGGUUCCUGGUGGCCGGCGGGAUGGGCCACUGUCCACAGGCCAUGCCAGGCCUGGGGCAGCGAGGUCACAGCCUCCUGGGUCAGAUGCUGUGCCCUGGCCAGUCGGCAGGAGUGGCCUCGGCAGGCUCCGCAGCAGUUUCUGCCCCAGAGACCAUGCGUGGGACAGUUCCAUCUCAUCUGUGAGUCCCGGAGAUGUGUGGACCCAGGUUGGCUGCACAGGACCCAGGGUGGCUGGGUAGAGGGGCUGUAAAAAAAAUCCCUGCUGGUGAUCUGGGGACUGAGGGAGGCUCAGGGGUGGGAGGUGAUCACCACCGUUUCUAGGCACUCAGGAGGGCCCUGUUCAGUGUCUCGGCGUUGCUGGGUAGACCCUGGUGGGGUGACAACAGGAUCUGAGUGUUUGGACUCCAUUCUCUCUGCUUCCUCUGUCCACGUUUUAGGGAUGCCCUAUUCAAUGAGCCCUCUCUCUCUCUUCCUUUUUUUUUUUUUUUCUUUUUCUAGCAGUGUUUCCAGGGAAGGGCUCAUAUUCCCCACACUAGGGGCUGAGAGGGUGGAUGCUUCUGGGUAAAUCAUUUGAAAAUCAAGCAGAUCCAACACCUUUGCUGUCUCUGAUUAAAGUGAGCUCGCUGGGAGGGGCCCCCAAAGGGCCCCUGAAUGGCUAUGUGCUGCCUGGCGUUAGGAGUGAGGGGCAUGACCCUGACACUGGGAGGGCAGGCGUGUGAGCAAGUGCAGCCUACGGGGAGGCAAUUUAACCACGGCCCCGGCGCUGACAACGGCAAAUCCUCCUGCGCAGCAGUUCUCCGAGGAUUCUUCCUGAGUGAGGCACUGGCAUAGGGGCACAAAGGCAUAUAUGUGCCAAAGGCAUGACCCACGCCAUGCGUUGAUUACAGCAGAGACUGAGAGCAGCCUCAUGCCUGUUGGUGGAGAGGAGUGGAGAAGGACAGCCUACUCCCCAUGCCCUGAGAGCUCUUCUGCAGUCAGCAAAAAGCGUGGUGGCUCCAUCCAUGUGGACACAGAACAGCUUUCAAGAGAAAUAAGAAGGGCUAGACGUGGCAGCUCACGCCUAUAAUUCCAGCACUUUGGGAGGCUGAGGCGGGCAGAUCACCUGAGGUCAGGAGUUAGAGACAAGCCCAGCCAAUGUGACAAAACCCUGUCUCUACUAAAAAUACAAAAAUUAGCUGGGUGUGGUGAUGGGCACCUGUAAUCCCAGCUACUUGGGUGGCAGACAUGAGAAUUGCUUGAACCCGGGAGGUGGACGUUUGCAGUGAGCCGAGCUUGUGCCACUGCACUCCAGCCUGGAAGACAGAACAAGACUCUGUCUCAAAAACAAAAAAAAAAAAGAGAGAGAGAGAGAAAUAAGAAGAACCAGAGGCACCCAGCGCAUGGGCUGCUACUGUCUGUGUAGGAGGCCGAGUAAUGUAUCACACAUGCACACCUAAGUGUGCAUACACAUAUGUGUGCACGACCACAUAUGCACACAUAGCUAGACAAAGGGGGUCUGGGACCCUGAAGAUUUGGGGUGGAAGGAAGCUUACUUUUCAGGACAUCCUUUCCUGUACUGUUUGGUUGUGGUUGUUUAACCAUUUGCAUAUGUUAAUUUUUCAAUUAAAAAUAGUUGAGCAAGGUGUGGUAGCAUGCACCUGUCAUCCUAGCUACUCAAGAAGCUGAGGUGGGAGGAUUGCUUGAGCCCAGGAGCUUGGGUCUAGCCUGGGCAACAUAGCCAGACCCCAUCUCCAAAAAGAGUUUUAAAAAUAGGUGAGUGGAAGUUUGGAGAAAAAGGAAGGAAGAGGAAAGGAGGCAGGAGGAAGAGAGAGAAAGGUGUACCCCGCACUGCGGAGGCAGCAGGUCCUCACCUGAAUCUGUCUCCCCGUUUCCCAGCUGCGUGGCUGUGGACAAGUCACUCGGCCUCCCUGCGACACUACUUUCCUGCCUGUGAAAUGGACUCACGGAUAAACCAAUCUCACCAAGUUGUUGCCAGGAUCAAAUAAGUCAAAAAUGAGAAAGGAUUUAGGAAACUGCAACGGGCAUUUUCCCUUGAAAAUGGCCCCUGGCUCUUGCACACGCGCGUGUGCCAAACAGCUCAGAUAAUGAUUUUCAUUUAUUCUAAUCCUCAGGCUGCCUGAGCUGGGCUUCAGGGGUACGCUGCAGGAAGAUCUGAGCACACAGGCCCCGCCGGGGUUCAGAUCUGGAGACCCAGCAAGGGCUAAUAAAACACAAACUAAAUAUUCCUCUGGCCUCCCCCACGGAGUGUUUUUCUCUGAUUCCGGAUCGGCCCUUGGGCUGUUAGAAAACGUCUUCUGGGGACAAAGGGCAAGCGGUGAAUUUGUGUCCCCUACAGAGAGGAGGGCUGGAGUUGUGAUUCUCUAAGAAGCCACGUGAACCAGAAGCAGCUCUCAGGGGCGGCGGCGUCUGCCCUCAGCCACGCUGGAGUCCACCCCAACUGGCAAGUGGAGAAAAGGAAGGAAAAAAUGAGUCAAAAGGAAUUGGAAACUGUGUUGCUCACAUUUAUGAAAUGAAUGUAGGUCUCCAACAUACGCUCUGGCCUGGAGCAUUGCUGUCUCUGCGUUAGUAGCUGGGCAUGGCUGUGUUGACAGUGGCGGAGGAGAACUCACAGCAGUGGUGAACGUCAAAUGUCAAAUGUCAUUAGAAACCAAGAAGGGGGCAGAUUUAAAAAGAAAAAAAGCAGGGAAAGCAUUCCACCUUUAAACAGAAGCCUUGGGCAGGGUAUGACGCUCGAAUCUCAUACUUCAAAAUGUUUUUGCAUCUUGAGGAAACCGUACAGGAACUUGACUGUGAGGAGCUAUAGGGCUGCCUGGUCAUUUGGAUGUGGCCAUGUUCACAUAAACACUCAGUGCUCGUCAGCUGGAGUUUUGGAUUUAGGGAGGUGGAAACAAUUUAGACUUGGGGGUGUUUGUGGUCAGCGGUUAUAAGUGAGUCUCAGGGUUUUUCCCACAGUUGAUGAAAACAGUUUCUUUGACAUCAAAAAUACAUAUCUAUUUUGAAACAGGGUCUUGCUCUGUCCCCCAGGCUGGAGUGCAGAGGUGCAAUCAUUACUUACUGGCAUCUCCAACUUCUGGGCUCAAGGGAUCCUCCUGCCUCAGCCUCCUGAGUAGCUGGGACCACAGGCGCAUACCAUUUCCCCUGGUUUACUUUUAAAUUUUUUGUAGACAUGGGAUCUCACUCUGUUGCCCAGGCUGGAAUGCAGUGGCGUUAUCUCAGCUCACUGCAGCCUCUGCGUCUGGGUUCAAGCAAUUCUCCUGUCUCAGCCUCCCAAGUAGCUGGGAUUACAGGUGUGUGCCACCACAUCCAAUUUUUUUUUUUUUUUUUGCAUUUUUAGUAGAGACAGGGUUUCACCAUGUUGGCCAGGCUGGUCUCAAACUUCUGACCUCAAGUGAUCCACCCGCCUUGGCCUCCCAAAGUGCUGGGAUCACAGGUGUGAGCCACCGCGCCUGGCCUAUAUAUAUUUUAAUGCAGCCAUUGGGCUCCUUCACCAGGCCUGAUCCAGUUAAUCUGGGACGAGGCUCAGGAAGCUCCAUUUUAAGAGUGACACAAGUGACGGGGAUGCAUGCUAAUGUCAGAGAACCCCAGGCUGGAAUAGGGGGACCCCAAACCCCAAAGGGCAUGCAGGACAAUCCUCUGGAAGUGUGGGAGAAAGCUAUUAUCACUUCAGCUUCAAUUUAUCUCCUCCUUUUACAUUUUCUCUUUUCUCAUUUUAUAAUGUGCUUGAAACUCAGCUGCAGAGCCCAAAUGUAUGUUUUAUAAAUAAUGAUGAUAAAAACCAACCCCUGCACUGCCGCUGUGCCACAGCCCUGUUCUAAGCCUUGUAAGCAUAUUCACUCAUUUACUCCUCAGGACUCUGGGAGAUAUUAUUACCGUCUGCUAUGAAUUGUGUGCCCCUAAAAUUCAUAUACUGAAGCCCUCACCCCCAGUAUGACUGUUUGGAAUAAGGAAGUGAUUGCAGUUUGCCGAGGCCAUGAGGGCAAGACCCAGAUAAGAUGCCAAGAACCUGGACACCUUCAACCGGUAACAUUCUCAUCAGAGGGACAUCAGAGCACAUUCUCUCUCUCUCUCCCUCCCUCCCUCUAUGCCACGUAAGGACCUAGGAAAAGGUGGCCAACUACAAGGCAGAAGAAAGCUUCAUCAGAACCUGACCCUGUUGGCUCCCUGAUCUUGGACUUCCGUCUCUGGAACUGUGAAGUCUAAACCACUCAGUCUAUGGCAUCUGUGUUAUGGCAGCAGGAGCUGAGACAUCCUGCAUCAUGCAGAUGAGGAAACAGAGGUGCAGAGAGGUGAAGCAGAUUGGCUGAGGUAGAACAAUGAGAAGGCAGGAGAGAUGGGAUUUGAAUUGAGGUAGUUUUGACUGCGGGUCCAGGCUUUUAAUCAUGUAUUUGGCGCAUGCUCCUUUAAAACUAGCAAACAAAAACUCCUAGAGGAAUGUGUUUGAAGAUGUCUGGAAACGCCUGGGUUGGAAGGAAAGGGUGUGAGAGUCUAUGGUAGACAGAAUAGUGACCCCCAAAGAUGUCCAUAUCUUAACCCCCAGAACUUGUGGAUAUCUACCUUGCCAAGAAAAUUACCAAGUAAUUUACCUUACUUGGCAGAAGAAACUUUGCAGAUGUGGUUUAAAAAUCUUGAGCUUGGGGGGCUGGUUAUCUGGGAUUAUCCUGGUGGCCCCAAUGUCAUCACAGGGAUCCUGGUGACAGGGAGGCAGAAGUCAGCAAGGAGAGAAGAUGCCAUCCUGCUGGCUUGGAAGACAGAGGAGGGGCCAUGAGCCAAGGAAUGCAGGCAGCCUCCAGGAACUGCAGAAGGCAAGCAGACAGAUUCUCCCCUGGAGUGUCCGGAAGGAGCAGGCCCGUUUCAGACUUCAGAACUCCUGAACUUUAAGAUAAUAAAUGUGUCCUGUUUUAA